rnacentral:rRNA from 1 species
GUGCCAGCCGCCGCGGUAAUACAGGGGGGGCAAGCGUUGUUCGGAAUUACUGGGCGUAAAGGGCUCGUAGGCGGCCAACUAAGUCCGACGUGAAAUCCCAAAGCUUAACUUUGGAACUGCGUCGGAUACUGGAUGGCUUGAAUUCGGGAGAGGGAUGCAGAAUUCCAGGUGUAGCGGUGAAAUGCGUAGAUAUCUGGAGGAAUACCGGUGGCGAAGGCGGCAUCCUGGACCGACAUUGACGCUGAGGAGCGAAAGCUAGGGGAGCAAACGGGAUUAGAUACCCCCGUAGUCC